UACGUAGGGGGCAAGCGUUGUCCGGAUUUAUUGGGCGUAAAGAGCGUGUAGGCGGUUUGGUAGGUCCGCUGUGAAAACUCGAGGCUCAACCUCGAGACGCCGGUGGAAACCAUCAGACUAGAGUCCGGAAGAGGAGAGUGGAAUUCCUGGUGUAGCGGUGAAAUGCGCAGAUAUCAGGAAGAACACCGAUGGCGAAGGCAGGUCUCUGGGCCACUACUGACGCUGAGAAGCGAAAGCAUGGGGAGCGAACAGG
rnacentral:rRNA from 1 species